UCUGGAUGGAGCCAAUGGAUGUAGGAUCGAGGUGGGAUCACUCUGGAUGGAUCCAAUGGAUGUGGUAUCGAGGUGGGAUCACUCUGGAUGGAUCUGAUGGAUGUAGGAUCGAGGUGGGAUCACUCCGGAUGGAUCCGAUGGAUGUAGGAUCGAGGUGGGAUCACUCUGGACGGAUCCAAUGGAUGUAGGAUCGAGGUGGGAUCACUCUGGACGGAUCCAAUGGAUGUAGAAUCGUGGUGGGAUCACUCUGGAUGGAUCUGAUGGAUGUAGGAUCACGGUGGGAUCACUCUGGAUGGAUCCGAUGGACGUAGGAUCGAGGUGGGAUCACUCUGGAUGGAUCCGAUGGACGUAGGAUCG